GGGGAAUUUUGGACAAUGGGCGAAAGCCUGAUCCAGCGACGCCGCGUGAGUGAUGAAGGCCUUCGGGUUGUAAAGCUCUUUCGAUGGGGAAGAUAAUGACGGUACCCAUAUAAGAAGCUCCGGCUAACUUCGUGCCAGCAGCCGCGGUAAUACGAAGGGAGCUAGCGUUACUCGGAAUCACUGGGCGUAAAGCGUGCGUAGGCGGCUUUGUAAGUCAGAAGUGAAAGCCUGGAGCUCAACUCCAGAAUUGCUUUUGAAACUGCAAAGCUAGAGUAUGAUAGGGGAUAGUGGAAUUCCUAGUGUAGAGGUGAAAUUCGUAGAUAUUAGGAGGAACACCGGUGGCGAAGGCGACUAUCUGGAUCAUAACUGACGCUGUUGCACGAAAGCGUGGGGAGCAAAC
rnacentral:rRNA from 1 species